GCUAUGCUGGCUGCUAACACCUGUGCUCAGGUAAAAGUGUCGGGGGGUAUUUUUGCUAAUGUUUUCUCUUCGUCUUCGUUUCAUUUAAACAAAUAACGCGUCAAAUAUGUGUUGUUUUACGUUGAAAAAUAAGAUAAAUAAACGCGUUUAUUUGAAGAAACUCACCCGGAAGAAGAAGAAAAGAAGCGGAAAUAGUUAAAUAAAAGAAGAAGUAACUGUAGCAACAGCGGAGACGAAAACUUCCUUCAACUGUGGAACUGAACUCAAACAAAGACACGUGGCAAAACUAUCAGACUGGACCGAGGGAGCGUUUGUGUGUAUACACCAGAAGAGCAGGCGUAAGCGGAGACGAGAAGUAAAACGUGAACGUGGUUGUUGUCGCCGCUGGUGGGCCAAGGUUGUACUUCUGCAGUUUCUUCUGGAGGAAUGUGGGACAGAAGGCGGCUAUGUAAGCGUCUUUAAAGCCAGAGUUACAGAAGCAGUACACUAGGGGGUCCAGCAGACAGUCGGUGAACGACAGGACCAUGAGGCUGUCGUAGACCUGCACCACCACGUCCUCCAUUUUCUGGUUAUCCUUCAACCUGACGACCAGCAGCACGGCUCGGGCCACUGUGCACGGCAGGAAGCAGAUGGAGAAGACGACCACGACGGACAGGACCACCCACACGGCUCGCCUCAGUUUGGUUUUCUCCCCGACGGUUUUCUUCCUCAGCCGGUUGACGAUGCGAAUCGUGCAGUAGACGAGGAUGAUGAAGGGGAUGAUGAUCUGGGUGAAGAAGACUAUCUUAAGGAGAGACAAAAAGGGGGAAUAAGUUUGUAUCAUUACUAGCUUUCAUUUUCAUUUUUGUUUGAAAACGACAUUUUCAGACAAACAAUCCGGGUCCAGACAAUCGUUUUAGCUUGUGUGCUUAGUUUGAGAAACAACAAUGGUGAAACGUCUGAGCAUGUGAAUCUGAUGUUAACUAAAGACCUAUUUAUACUCUUUUACAUCUGACUGUCCCAAACGUCAUCUCUGUUACUGCCCCACAUGCCUUUGUGCGUCUUUUGCAUUUCUUGUUGCAUUUAUGCAAUACUUCCUCUAGGUACCAACUUGCCAAGUACCCAGUUGGAGAAGGAAAUCAUUGGGGACAGUGUAGAGUUGCCAAAUACCAAAGUGGCCACGAUUUGAAGAGGUUAUUUUAUUUGGCAUUUUAUUUUUGAAAUGCAAGCGGAUUUUGUGGCGGUGGAAUGUCAGACCACUAAAGCCGUCAUAUUAUUUGGGAAUAUUCCUUAUUGGUGUGGAGUGGCACUUUCAAUAUUUUUGUAUGUCCGCUGCGACUUUUGACAUCUUGCUUCGCCGGAUAACCCCUCGUAUCAAACCACAGUGCGCCAAUGAGUGAAGCCGAGCGCCUGGCAGUCACUCUCCGUUUUCUGUCAGCAAGGAUAAAAUUAAAUUAGUCCUUUCAUGUGAAAUUCCUUCUCUGCAUUUAACCCAUCCUCUACUAGAAACCUUCCUAGAAUUAGGAGCAGCGAGCAACCACUGAGCAGCGCCCCAGGAGCAAUUGGGGUUGGGUACCAUGCACAGGGGUACCCCAGCCAUUUUUUUUAACCUGGUUACUGGACUUGAACCAGCAACCCUCAGGUCACAAGCCAAGUUCCCUUUCCACUUGGCCAUGGGCUGCCCUAAAAGCCAGCAAUCUCUGGCAGCAUGUUUUAAAUUGGGCACCGCAACUGUAUCUUGCUUUUUCAUUGAUUUCCUGACUGAUUGGACUGUUGACUCUGCACCCAAUGAUUUUCAGUAAUGUUGCUCCACUUCGUCCGUCAUAAGCUCCUCGUACACUCAGUGGUUACAGAAGUGAGCUUUAGUGAUUAAUCUGAUUUCCCUGACUCUGUAACAGUCAGUUUAUAUAGACACACAUCAUGAACACUGUCUCCUGUCCUCUGAAAGCUUCUUUUACUGCUCCAGAUGUGUCUGUUUUCCAUAUUAUUGCAAAGUUUUAGAAAAUAAACUUUGCAGGAUCCAAUAUUGUUUGAUAACUCCGGAAAUGAGUUUAAUCCUAACUCUACACUUCUUUUAAUACUUUUACUUCUAAAACGUAAGUACAUUA